rnacentral:lncRNA from 10 species
AAGGACUGUGCUCCCAAUCCGCUUACGCUCAAGGAAGAACUGGCCCAGAACCAGCCUGCUGUCAGGAUCAGAACAAAAGAGGAGGACUGCAUAUGUAUGGACCCACUCCAGAUGGCACGGGGACGGGGGGAGUAGGAAAAGUGGCAUGGGUUACUCAGGCUGAAAUGCUCAAGACACUCUGUCUCAAGGGAUUUGUGGCUGUUUCAUCCUCAAGUAUAGGGGGAAUAGUGGCCAGGAAGAUCUCAGAGGUGGCUUCUGGAAGAGGAAUCUGGGUACUGGCUACCCUGCCUUGUGUCCCAUCAUUGGUCUGUCUUGCCUGUCUUGGAGCACAUUUCUCACCAAGCCCCCUGCUGAAAUCAUGGGGUAAAAAAGAGACACAGGGGGAAUGGAGGAGCCAGAGAGAAAGCAGUGUGAUCACAGGCACACAGGACAGCAGCUCACCUUCCCAUCCUUGCUGGCUUUUGCACAAAUACUUCUAAGGGGCCAGGCGUGGUGACUCAUGCUUGUAAUUCCAAGCACUUUGGGAGGCUGAGGCAGGUGGAUCACCUGAAGCCAGGAGUUCAAGAGCAGCCUGGCCAACAUGGCGAAACCCUGUCUCUACUAAAAAUACAAAAUUUAGCCAGGCAUGGUGGCGGGAGCCUGUAAUCUCAGCUCCUAGGGAGGCUGAGCCAGAAGAAUCGCUUAAACCUGGAAGCUGGAGGUUGCAGUGAGCCAAGAUCACACCACCACACUCCAGCCUGGGUGACAGAGCAAGACUCCAUCUCAAAAAGAAAAAAAAGAAAAAAA